CGUAGGGGGCAAGCGUUGUCCGGAUUUAUUGGGCGUAAAGCGCGUGUAGGCGGCCAGACAGGUCCGUUGUGAAAACUGGAGGCUCAACCUCCAGCUGUCGAUGGAAACCGCUUGGCUAGAGUCCGGAAGAGGAGAGUGGAAUUCCUGGUGUAGCGGUGAAAUGCGCAGAUAUCAGGAAGAACACCGAUGGCGAAGGCAGCUCUCUGGGACGGUACUGACGCUGAGACGCGAAAGCGUGGGGAGCGAACAGGAUUAGAUACCCUGGUAGUCCACGCCGUAAACGAUGGGUGCUGGGUGUGGGAGGUGUCGACUCCUCCCGUGCCGCAGCUAACGCAUUAAGCACCCCGCCUGGGGAGUACGGCCGCAAGGCUA
rnacentral:rRNA from 1 species